rnacentral:rRNA from 1 species
AGCGUAGACGGCACGGCAAGCCAGAUGUGAAAGCCCGGGGCUCAACCCCGGGACUGCAUUUGGAACUGCUGAGCUAGAGUGUCGGAGAGGCAAGUGGAAUUCCUAGUGUAGCGGUGAAAUGCGUAGAUAUUAGGAGGAACACCAGUGGCGAAGGCGGCUUGCUGGACGAUGACUGACGUUGAGGCUGAAAGCCAGGGUAGUGAACG